UACGUAGGGUGCAAGCGUUGUCCGGAAUUAUUGGGCGUAAAGAGCUCGUAGGCGGUCUGUCGCGUCUGCUGUGAAAACUCGGGGCUUAACCCCGGGCCUGCAGUGGGUACGGGCAGACUAGAGUGCGGUAGGGGAGACUGGAAUUCCUGGUGUAGCGGUGAAAUGCGCAGAUAUCAGGAGGAACACCAAUGGCGAAGGCAGAUCUCUGGGCCGUAACUGACGCUCAUGCACGAAAGCGUGGGGAGCAAACAGG
rnacentral:rRNA from 1 species